rnacentral:rRNA from 1 species
GCCAGACUCCUACGGGAGGCAGCAGUGGGGGAUAUUGCACAAUGGGGGGAACCCUGAUGCAGCGACGCCGCGUGGGUGAAGAAGUAUUUCGGUAUGUAAAGCCCUAUCGGCAGGGAAGAAAUUGGACGGUACCUGACUAAGAAGCCCCGGCUAACUACGUGCCAGCAGCCGCGGUAAUACGUAGGGGGCAAGCGUUAUCCGGAUUCACUGGGUGUAAAGGGAGCGUAGACGGCCAUGCAAGCCUGAAGUGAAAGCCCGGGGCCCAACCCCGGGACUGCUCUGGGAACUGUGCGGCUGGAGUGCGGGAGGGGCAGGCGGAAUUCCUGGUGUAGCGGUGAAAUGCGUAGAUAUCAGGAGGAACACCGGCGGCGAAGGCGGCCUGCUGGACCGCGACUGACGUUGAGGCUCGAAAGCGUGGGGAGCAAACAGGAUUAGAUACCCUUGUAC